CGAACAUGCCAACGAUGUAUUUUUCGAAGUGUCAGUUAUUCCAGUGUUCCCUUAUAGGACUCCAGUUUAGGACCUUCAAUUUACAGGAUAAAGCAACACAAAUCUGUAAAUAUGAUCAUAUCGAAGGCAACAUGACGUUAAGACUAGCCAGCUUACUAGCAUAACCCACAUGGUUGAUGUAUUUCCUUGAGGUGGAGCAGAAAGGCAACUGAAUGACUAUAUGAGUAUCCUUAUACAAAUGCCGACGAUGUAUUUGCAACUAAUGGCAGCUAUUCCCGUGUUCCCCUCUAGGACUCCAUUUUAGGACACUUUAGAAUCUUUCUAAAAUAACCCUCAUGGUUGAUAUAUGUCUUCGAGGUAGAGCAGAAGGGCAACUGGAAUGACUAUAUGAGUUCCUUCACGGACAUGCCAACGAUGUAUUUUUUGAAGUGUCAGGCAUUCCAGUGUUCGCUUCUAGGACUCCAUUUUAGGACCUUCACUUUACAGGAUAAAGCAACACGAAUCUGUAAAUAUAAUCACUCCCAACAGAAAAAAAGACUCGAGUUGCAACAAGGGACACCGAUUUUUCCAUAGCAAAAGCAUACAAGACAGGCCUUAUAUAAGGGUUCUUCUAUAGCAUUCCCAUGAAUCAAAUAGAUGAUUAAUACAAACCAGUGUAAUGAUUGAAAUUUCGAAAAACAAGAUAUAGAAGAAACAUUCAACUUUCCACAUGAGGCAAUAGUAAAUGGUCUAAAAGAAAAGUCUGAGGAAAUAUGUAUCCAGAUAUACAUGACUGACGCAAGUUAAUUUCUUUUUUUCCAGAAAGCCUGAUGCAUUUCGGGUCUACUUCCUUCGAAUUAAGUGAUUCUGUCAUUCUUAACACUAGAGUUUUUUUUUCACACACUAACUUAUAACUCAAACCCUUUU
rnacentral:lncRNA from 1 species